UACGUAGGGUGCAAGCGUUAAUCGGAAUACUGGGCGUAAAGCGUGCGCAGGCGGUUAUGUAAGACAGAUGUGAAAUGCCCGGCUUAACCUGGGAACUGCAUUUGUGACUGCAUGGCUAGAGUUUGGCAGAGGGGGGGGUAGAAUUCCACGUGUAGCAGUGAAAUGCGUAGAUAUGUGGAGGAACACCGAUGGCGAAGCAGCCCCCCUGGGUCAAGACUGACGCUCAUGC
rnacentral:rRNA from 1 species